GAUGUAAACAAAACAAGAACUGUGCGGAGUACGCGUUUAUUCCGUGAAUUCGACUUUGAAAUGCGUUUUCUUGCAUUUCAAAAUGCGGGAAUGACAUCAAAGAAUCUUUUCUAUGACCUUGGGUGAUUUUACGAUCGCGUCAGGUUUCGUAUUUUCCGACCUUUCGCUCUCUUCUGCACCAUGGCCAUGGCGCUUGUGAAACAAAUCGCUCCCAACUCCUGGCUACGAUUCUGCGCGUGGGAGGUUGCAAGAAAGUCGAGAAACAAGCCUCAUUUCAACCCUGAGCUGUCCAGAAUCUUUUGUGAGCUCGUCAGGAGAGUUGACAGCGAUUUAGUAAUUUUGUAAAUUGGAUGCGCUGGUGUCCAGGUGCCAAUCUCGCCGCGUUAUCUUCCAACAGCGAGCUGCUGAUGCUGGACAUCAACCCCUUCUGCGAGAGCAGUACCUCAGGAAAACCCUAGAGAAAUCUCAUCUAACGCUGAAGCAGUUCAUUAAUUUGCGGCUCGGCAGAAAAAUCUCGCAGGUGCCGAGUUGCAGCGUGGAUGUGGUCGUCCUUGAACGAGUCCAAGGCACUGAAGGAGAUCUUCAGGGUUCUGAAACACAACGGUAAAUUGGUUUUCGAGGAACACGUUUUGUCUGAUGGGAGCUUGUGGAGACUCAUCCAGAACUUCUUGUCUCUCAACAGGAUAUCGUCAACUCUAUUUUUUGGCUGCAGGUCGAACAAGGAUAUUUGAAGCCAUCGAGAAGGACGGCUUCCCAAACUUGAGCGUGAAGAGGAAAAAGCCGAGAAACUCGUUAGUAGGCCGUCGUGGAAACAGCUGAUUGGGAGCCAUGGAGGAGUUUUUCAAUUUUGGGAACGAUCUUCUUGAAUGCGACAAGCAGCAAGUUGAAAUGGCAGCCCCGCAAUUCACGCCUCUCUAUUUCUCUCCCAAAGACUGUGAUGGUACAAGCAGUACGCCGACUUUCUGUAUUUUAAGGGCGAGUACAGCGCUGCCUUGCGCGCGUACCGAGAAUUGAGGCACGUGUACCAGGGCAAUUUGUUCAUGGCAAAGAGUGUGCAGGAAAGUAAAGCCUGGUGUUUGGCCAAGUUAGGUCGCACAAAUGAAGCCAGAGCUGUCGCGCAGCUAUUGGUUGAUCAGGCAAACACCUAUAGGAGAGCAAACGUGGCAUCGAAUAUUUCCUGGAAAAGAUAAAAUGUCAUUCCGAAACAUUGGUGAUUAGGGAUUGACAAAAAAUUAAAAUUCUCGAUAAAAAUCAUGACUAACACGAAACAACACCGGCUGCAUUCCUUGGUUUUAAUAUUCAGAUUUUAAUGAUGUCAAAAAGGAAAUAACAAGCUGCUGGACUUCCGUCAUAAGUUGCUUUACAGCAAUCGCUUAAAAACCUUGAUCAGUUGGCAACCAAAUCACUUCUGAACAUGCAGAUAUUGACGAUCUUCCUUCUAAAUAUCCUGGUAAUAUUCAAUUUCAUGUUUAUCUCUUAAAAUUGUGCGCGCUGAUUGUUAACAAAUAAUUGCUCUAGUCAUGUUUU